AUGGCGGCGCCCAACCGGAGAGGCGGCAGCGGCCGGAAGAAGAUCGUCAUCCGCCGGAUCGAGCAGGAGGAUGCCCGGUUCGUCUGCUACUCCAAGCGCCGCCAGGGGUUCUUCAACAAGGCCACGGAUCUGGCGGUCCUGACGGGCGCCCAGGUGGCCGCCCUCGCCUUCUCUCCCCGCGGCAGGGCUUUCUCCUUCGGCCACCCCUCCGUCCACUCCGUCGUGGAACGCUUCCUGGCGUGGGAGGCUGCGGGGGCUGCCGCGAGGGAGGAGGGCGCUGCCAACGACCGUUUGCUGGCGGGGGAGGGCGCUGCCGGCGAAGACGAGAAGCUCGAGGAGCUGCAGCAGGAGUUCGACGAGCUGCGCACGGAGCUGACCGAAUUGAAGAAGCGGACCAAGCGCACGGACAAGGCCAUGGCGAGAGAGCGCUCUGCGGGGGACCGGAUAGCGGCUUGGUUCGACCCCAAGGCGCGCGACAUGGGAAUGGGAGACGAGGACAUGGUGGCCUUCUUCGCCGCGCUGAUGCUGAUGAAGGACGCCGUCUCCGAUCGCGCCAACCAGGUUCUCCUCGAGGCGAUGCACGCCCACAUGAGCCGCAUGGCGGAGGUGGCCCUGCCGCCGCCGCCCAGAUCUUCGGUGGCAGCACCUUCGAGUUCGGAGCAGGGGUUCGAGGCCGCGAUGGAUAUGCAGCAGAUGGUGAUGGCGCCGCAGCCUCCGUCUCACGUGGUCGCCGCCGGGAUGGAUGUGCAGGACAUGCCUCCGCCGCCGGGGUUGGCCGCCGGGAUGGAUCAGGAGCAGAUGCAGAUGACGAUGUCUAAGCCGCCGGGGUUCGACGCAGGGCUAGACAAGGAGAUAGAUCAAUGGCUUGAUGUGAUGCUGCCGCCUCCGGAGUUCACUGCCGGGAUGGAGAUGGUGCAGCAGGGGCUCCAUCAACCGAACGCCGGCUUCCCGUACUGA
rnacentral:rRNA from 1 species